rnacentral:rRNA from 1 species
UACGUAGGCAGCGAGCGUUGUUCGGAGUUACUGGGCGUAAAGGGUGCGUAGGCGGUUGUUUAAGUUUGGUGUGAAAUCUCCCCGGCUCAACUGGGAGGGUGCGCCGAAUACUGAAUGACUAGAGUGCGGGAGAGGAUAGUGGAAUUCCUGGUGUAGCGGUGAAAUGCGUAGAUAUCAGGAGGAACACCGGUGGUGUAGACGGCUAUCUGGACCGUAACUGACGCUGAGGCACGAAAGCGUGGGUAGCAAACAGGAUUGAG